rnacentral:rRNA from 1 species
GGGGGGGGGGGGGGGGGGGGGGGGGGGGGGCGGGUCGGGCGGGGGGGCGCGGCGUUGGUGGGGUGCGCGAGUGGCGAACGGGUGAGUAACACGUGAGUAACCUGCCCUUGACUUUGGGAUAACUUCAGGAAACUGGGGCUAAUACCGGAUAGGAGCUCCUGCUGCAUGGUGGGGGUUGGAAAGUUUCGGCGGUUGGGGAUGGACUCGCGGCUUAUCAGCUUGUUGGUGGGGUAGUGGCUUACCAAGGCUUUGACGGGUAGCCGGCCUGAGAGGGUGACCGGCCACAUUGGGACUGAGAUACGGCCCAGACUCCUACGGGAGGCAGCAGUGGGGAAUAUUGCACAAUGGGCGGAAGCCUGAUGCAGCAACGCCGCGUGCGGGAUGACGGCCUUCGGGUUGUAAACCGCUUUCGCCUGUGACGAAGCGUGAGUGACGGUAAUGGGUAAAGAAGCACCGGCUAACUACGUG